rnacentral:rRNA from 1 species
AUUGAGCGCUGGCGGCAUGCCUUACACAUGCAAGUCGAACGGCAGCAUGGAAGAGCUUGCUCUUCUGAUGGCGAGUGGCGAACGGGUGAGUAAAGCAUCGGAACGUACCGUGUAGUGGGGGAUAACGUAGCGAAAGUUACGCUAAUACCGCAUACGCACUGAGGGGGAAAGCAGGGGAUCGCAAGACCUUGCGCUAUACGAGCGGCCGAUGUCAGAUUAGCUAGUUGGUAGGGUAAAGGCCUACCAAGGCGACGAUCUGUAGCGGGUCUGAGAGGAUGAUCCGCCACACUGGGACUGAGACACGGCCCAGACUCCUACGGGAGGCAGCAGUGGGGAAUUUUGGACAAUGGGGGAAACCCUGAUCCAGCCAUGCCGCGUGAGUGAAGAAGGCCUUCGGGUUGUAAAGCUCUUUCGGCUGGGAAGAAAUCGCACAGGCUAAUACUCUGUGUGGAUGACGGUACCAGCACAAGAAGCACCGGCUAACUACGUGCCAGCCGCCGCCGUAA